UUGAAUGUUUUUACCUUCCAGUGUUGUCUUAGCUUCUGAGAUAGGCAGUUGCAUUUGGUAGCAACACCAUCACUGAUUCAUUUAAUCAAAAGAUAUUUACUGAGUGCCUGCAAGGUCUUGGGACUGGAGGUUGACAGUCUGGUCAGAGAAGCAGACACAAAUUACAGUAAAAUAAUGGGCUGAAGAAAAUGCAUUUGAUUCUGUGAGUGUGUAUCUUAUAUAAAAGAACAUGGGCUAGGGAAAACUUCUCUGCUGUUUGAACAGAGACAAAGGGUGAGUGGACAUUAACUAAGAAAAGGGCUGGGGAAGGGCAGAGAAGAGUGUCCUAGGCUGAACAGCGCGGUGUCGAGCCCUGUGUACAACACGAACAAGGUGUGCUGGUGUCCCAGAAGUGCCAGCAGGUCAACGUGACUGCAGCUCCCCAAGCAAGGCAGUGACUCAGGGGCCCAAGAGGUUUCAUCUGAGGUUCCUUAGUUGUGAUGGCAGAGGAAAGUGAGACCGAAGAACUUCCCAUGGGCUUGUCAGUACUGCAGCUUGGAAGUGACUCACAAUGCUUUCUCUCAGGACUAAUCACACAGCCUCGCCUACAACAAAAAAACUAGCAAAUGUGAGGAAGCACAUGGAAUAUUUGAAAGUGUCGAAGAGGAAAUACCCAAACUCCCAGCUUCCCUGCAGCUGGGGGUGGCCAGAAAACUCAGCUAUGGCCAAUGAGAUGUAAGCACCUGUCUUUGACUUUUCCAAAUAAAAAGGCAAAGCUUCUAAGCCACAAGUCCUUGCUCCUCUCUCUCUGUCUGCCCCGCUCUCUCGUCUUGCCUGGAACUUAACUGUGAGGCUGGAGGUAGAGCAGCCCUCUUGAUGUCAUGAGGCAACAAGCACAAGGUUCACAGCUAAGGUUGAUGACGUGGCAGGAAAGAAAGAGCUGGGUGCUUGAUGACCUUGUUGAGCUACUGUUUUACUCCAGGGCUACCUGGCCAGGAGUUUAUUGUUGUGUGAGACAAGUACCUCAUUGCUGGUAUUCACUUGUGUUUGUUAGGGUCGGUCUUUGCUAUACGAAACUGACGGAAUCAGUAAUAGCUAUCAAUAUUGUCAUCCUCAUCAUCAUUAUAAAUGUUCUCCUACAACUUCAACACCCUCAGGCUCACAGCUGUAGAUUUUACUAUCUAAUUGGGGAGCCAAUUAAGAUUUAUUAAUCAAAUCCUUAAAGUAGCAUUUCCCAGGGAGUAUUCCAAGAAUGUUGGCUCUUACAGAUAUUAAUAGGUCUUCUGAGAAAAAAAUAAAUUAAAAAAAGCUCUAUUGUCAAGUUAACAAAUGACGAUACUUGGCAGAAAUCUUUGUAACAGUGGUUUUCGAAUUGGUAUACUAUUUAAGGACUUUCCAAAGGAUUUUAAAGAAUCAAUUACAGAUCCUGAACUAUGAUAAGUACACUUUCCAAAAAUUAGUAUGUGUGAGGACUCUUUCUUCUGGUCCUCCUCUCCUUCCUGUUCCCUC